rnacentral:rRNA from 1 species
CAGCCGCGGUAAUACGAGGGGUGCAAGCGUUAAUCGGAAUUACUGGGCGUAAAGCGUACGCAGGCGGUUUGUUAAGCAAGAUGUGAAAGCCCCGGGCUCAACCUGGGAACAGCAUUUUGAACUGGCAAGCUAGAGUCUUGUAGAGGGGGGUAGAAUUUCAGGUGUAGCGGUGAAAUGCGUAGAGAUCUGAAGGAAUACCGGUGGCGAAGGCGGCCCCCUGGACAAAGACUGACGCUCAGGUACGAAAGCGUGGGGAGCAAACAGGAUUAGAUACCCUGGUAGUCCACGCCGUAAACGAUGUCUACUCGGAAUUUGGUGUCUUGAACACUGGGUUCUCAAGCUAACGCAUUAAGUAGACCGCCUGGGGAGUACGGCCGCAAGGUUAAA